AAAUGAAUUGACGGGGGCCCGCACAAGCGGUGGAGUAUGUGGUUUAAUUCGAAGCAACGCGAAGAACCUUACCAGGCCUUGACAUCCCUUGCAGAGGUAUAGAGAUAUAUCCGAGGUUAUCAAGGAGACAGGUGGUGCAUGGUUGUCGUCAGCUCGUGUCGUGAGAUGUUGGGUUAAGUCCCGCAACGAGCGCAACCCUUGUGAUAUGUUACUAACAUUGAGUUGAGGACUCAUAUCAGACUGCCGGUGAUAAACCGGAGGAAGGUGGGGAUGACGUCAAAUCAUCAUGCCCCUUAUGGCCUGGGCUACACACGUACUACAAUGGCGUCUACAAAGAGCGGCAAGCCUGUGAAGGCAAGCGAAUCUCAUAAAGGACGUCUCAGUUCGGAUUGAAGUCUGCAACCCGACUUCAUGAAGCUGGAAUCGCUAGUAAUCGCGAAUCAGCAUGUCGCGGUGAAUACGUUCUCGGGCCUUGUACACACCGCCCGU
rnacentral:rRNA from 1 species